rnacentral:rRNA from 1 species
GACGGAGGAUGCAAGUGUUAUCCGGAAUCACUGGGCGUAAAGCGUCUGUAGGUGGUUCGAAAAGUCCACUGUUAAAAAUUGAGGCUUAACUUCAAAGAUGCCGUGGAAACUUUCAAACUAGAGUAUGGUAGGGGUAGAGGGAAUUCCAGUGGAGCGGUGAAAUGCGUAGAUAUUGGAAAGACCACCGAUGGCGAAGGCACUCUACUGGGCCACUACUGACACUGGAGAGACGAAAGCUAGGGGAGCAAAUGGG